GACGAACGCUGGCGGCGUGCCUAAUACAUGCAAGUAGAACGCUGAAGCGAGGAGCUUGCUCUUCUUGGAUGAGUUGCGAACGGGUGAGUAACGCGUAGGUAACCUGCCUUGUAGCGGGGGAUAACUAUUGGAAACGAUAGCUAAUACCGCAUAACAAUGGAUGACACAUGUCAUUUAUUUGAAAGGGGCAAUUGCUCCACUACAAGAUGGACCUGCGUUGUAUUAGCUAGUAGGUGAGGUAAUGGCUCACCUAGGCGACGAUACAUAGCCGACCUGAGAGGGUGAUCGGCCACACUGGGACUGAGACACGGCCCAGACUCCUACGGGAGGCAGCAGUAGGGAAUCUUCGGCAAUGGGGGCAACCCUGAACGAGCAACGCCGCGUGAGUGAAGAAGGUUUUCGGAUCGUAAAGCUCUGUUGUAAGUCAAGAACGGGUGUGAGAGUGGAAAGUUCACACUGUGACGGUAGCUUACCAGAAAGGGACGGCUAACUACGUG
rnacentral:rRNA from 1 species